AUGUGGCGCCAUGUCACCGCCACCCCCCAUUCUGUGGGAUGCUUUGUGGGAUCCAAUGAAGACACUGUUUCCAUAAAUGGAGACGGCCAAACCUUGCUGCCCCAGGGCUUUUAUACCUCAUCCCUGGGCCAACACCGAGGGACAGAAGGCAGGGACCCAACCUCUUCUGCGGGUCCUGAACCCAUCAUGGCCAACAGACUCCUUUGCUGGGUCUCCAUUUUUCUCCUGGGAGCAGCUCCCACUGAAACAGGAAUCACUCAGACACCGAGAUACCUGGUCACCGAGGUGAAGCAGGAGGUGACGCUGAGAUGUCAGCAAAAUUUGGGGCAUAAUUUCAUGUACUGGUACCAACAGGAGCCACAGAAAGGACCCAGGAUAAUGUUUUAUUAUAGUCUUAAAGACAUGAGUUUAAAUGAGACCGUUCCUCCAAGAUUCCAACCUGCAUCAUCAGGGAAUGGUCACUUGACCCUCAAAAUCCAUCCUGUGCAAGCAGAGGACUCAGCCAUCUAUCUCUGUAGCAGCAGCAGUGACACAGCCUUGCAGAGUCAUCUCCCAGCUGUGCAGAAACCUCCUGUCCUUGGCAUAGGAAGAAAGGAGGGAGAAAAUUCACCACAUCAGACUGGCUCACAAAAGGAAGUUCUGGCGGGAGGAGGAGGAACUCUGCUAACCAUAUCAUAA